GACGAACGCUGGCGGCGUGCUUAACACAUGCAAGUCGAACGGUGAAAGCGGAGCUUGCUCCGCUGGAUCAGUGGCGAACGGGUGAGUAACACGUGGGCAACCUGCCCCUCACUUCGGGAUAACUCCGGGAAACCGGGGCUAAUACCGGAUAUGACCUCCUUGGGCAUCCUUGGAGGUGGAAAGUUUUUCGGUGAGGGAUGGGCCCGCGGCCUAUCAGCUUGUUGGUGAGGUAGUGGCUCACCAAGGCGACGACGGGUAGCCGGCCUGAGAGGGCGCCCGGCCACGCUGGGACUGAGACACGGCCCAGACUCCUACGGGAGGCAGCAGUGGGGAAUAUUGCGCAAUGGGCGAAAGCCUGACGCAGCAACGCCGCGUGCGGGAUGACGGCCUUCGGGUUGUAAACCGCUUUCAGCAGGGAAGAAGCCGCAAGGUGACGGUACCUGCAGAAGAAGCACCGGCUAACUACGUGCCAGCCGCCGCCGUAA
rnacentral:rRNA from 1 species